CCAGCCAAUCGCAGCCUCACUUCCAGCCGUCACUCAAGCUGGCUCUCCUCACUCCCAACUGCCCCUCAGGCUCCCCGUCCGGCCUGCAGCUGGGCCUUUCCCACAGGGCCCUCUGGGGAAGCUCUGCCCUGGAGAUUCUGGGGUGAAUUCACCCAUGCAGGCGUUCACCAUGGUCUUUGGUGCGCCAUGGGAAGGGCUGCUUGGGUGCUGGGCAUGCUGUGGGAAAUGUUUGUGGACAGAAGACAAAGCCCCUUUUUGCUGAAUGAGUAGCCACAGGCUGAACCCUCUCAAUUAGAAAACAUUAAACCCUGCUUUCCAUGACUUCAGUGAGCCAUGAACCCAGGACCAGCACAAACAGCUUCAUCUCAGGACAUGGCAGAAACAUCCAGGGAUAACUGAAGGUGUUUGUCUCCUGCAAUGCAAGUGGAAACUGAUGAGUCCAGUGGCAGGAAAGUUAAACGUGCAGGGAGAGUGGAUGCUCACGGGACAGCAAACGGGCAGGAACAGGCAGGUGUGCCAGCUGCCAGGAGUCUGUCUCAGUACCAAGAGAGCCUCCAAAACAAAACAUAUCUCGGAUGGAUCUUCAAAACACCUAUGUGUUCGGUGUGCACUCGCUUCGGUCACUAGAUGGCAAUAAAGACCCAACGUGCUCUUCGCUGGGCAGCAGGGGAGCAUCGUAGAGCUCGGCCUGGAUUUCCCCAGGAGAUAGAACUGGAAGAUGCUAGAGAAGCCAAGAACGGAAUUUGCCACAGUGGUUUGCCAGCUAGUCAGCAACAGCAUCUUCCUAAUUUUCCUUUGUGCACAUCACACACCUGGGGCUGCAGGAAGAAGUGGCAGCCUUGUGUAAAACAGCAAAAGGACCAGGAGAGCAUCCCCUCCUCAGUUCAGGGCAUGAGCCCUGUGUUCAGGAAAACCUCAGUGAAUUGGUGGAAAAGAGGACCAGUCUGUGUGCUCUAAUAACAAGAUGUUCUUACCUCUCCCAAUUCAUGCUCUGGAUACUUGCUGACAAAUGACCUCAUGUGAGAGAAGACUCAAAUAUUUUGGGUGAGGAAGACAUUUAAAUGCAGGAACUUCAGAGAAGUGCCUCACAUGGAGCAAGUCUUUAACCUGUGCUUAUGCCAAGUUGUAUCCCAGACAACAUUUAAGCAGGUUUUCUGAAAUCAAGGCUCACAGAGCAGGCAGCUUAUGUUUGCUUUGAUGGGCAAAGUUGCUGCAGGGUCAAGUGGAAAGAAGAGAUUGGCAGGAAAGGAGCAAAGCCUCCUUAAAUGAAAGUGUCUGCAAUAAUUAGCAAAUGUUGCAAAAAUGAGCUGAUAAACAAGCAAAAGGUAAGAAGGGAAAGGUAAGCUUCAGGGCAAUUAAUUAAGAUGGUAAAUGAAAAGAGACCCAAAAUUUUUGCAGGAAUUGAAUUUAACAGAUGGGAGGGUAUACUGGGAGCAUGGUAUUUGUUCAAGCAGUGAGAAAAAGCUGGAAAUACAGGGAUGCAGAACCAUUUUAAAAGGAACUAGUUUGUUUUCCAGGAAUAAGCCUCAAGGAAAGCAAGAAAACAUUUAAUUUCUUUGCCCACAUUUGUAUUUUUGCUGUUUAUGAAGUCCAAAGAAAUGGAAGUUCCUUUGCAAAACUGGAGAACCCACAUCCAGCUCUGCUCUUCAAGUGCAAGCACCCAACCAGUGUUUCAAUUAACCUGCAGUGAAGCAGACCUGAACAGAUGGGUUUGGGAUGUAGCCUGUAUCCUGCUGUGGAGCUGAGCCUCACUGCCUGUGCACCCUCUGGGGGUCCCUUCCCACCCCCUCAGCCCCAGCAGGAGCCAAGGGCUGCUGCCUGACCUCCCUGUGUCCCACAGAAACGUGAGAAGCCCAGCUCUGGAAUGGGCUCAGUCAUCCUGCACAGCUGGCAGUCAGUGGCUCAGGGGAGGGGAGGGAUCAGUGGGUGCAUAAAUGCAGGGAGGGGACUCCCCCUCUUCCUUUGUCCCUGACUGCCCUGAAGUUCUGGAGCAGGCUGAGACUGCACAAGAGAUUUGGGUCUGCAGCAGAGCAGCAAUCUCUGGAUGCCUGAUUGCGGCUGACAGAGAGAUCAAAGCACAGCAUCCUCUGGGAAAAGGAGAGAUAAAGGGAGAAGAAAACGUUCCAGAAGCACCAACAAGCUGGAGCUGUGUUCAGCCCCUUUUGGAACAAUAAUCUUCCCGGAGGUGUGCUGGGGCUCCAGCAACGCGCAGCGGAAAGAGAUUUAUUAUGAAAAUCAGGUGUCUGCCUCAGAGCACAUAAAAACAGUUGGCUUCAUAACCUUGGGGGAAAAAGAUAAAUAAAGAAAUCCCACGAGACACGUAUGAGAACUGACCCCACUGAUAGUUUAAUGAGGAUGGUGUGUGCCACUCACCUGGAUCAAUCAUUUAUGCAGAUUCCUGCCAAGCCCCCCCCACAGGCCCUGUCCCAGCCCAGCAAAGAAGAGCGUGCCAUGUUUCAGCUGAGCAAUGUCAAACCUCUGCAGGGAGCACAGCACAGCCCUGGCCAGGUGUCCUGUCCCAGGCUCCAAGGGCUGCCACCUUCAUCAGGCCAGAGGGGCAUUCUAGGACCUGUGAUCUGACUGUGGAUCAGCAUCCCUCCUGCUGGUUCUUGUCCACGGUGAUGUCCCAGGGACACCUGGCUUGGUGUGAGCAGAGUGCCUGAAAUGGACCCUUUUAUUCCUGUCUCAGGUACACCAGAUUUUUCCUUUUUCUCCUCUCAAAGUGUAUGUGUAAUAAAUAGCACAGGACUAGGAGGAUGAAAAGAUGAAUCACAGCUAUGAAAAUAUUUGACUAUGUUUUAAGCAGGACUCCCAGCAGGUACAACCAUAGCCAUGUACCACUGACGUGCUUCAGAGGCAUCAAAAGACUGCUUUUUCCACCACUGAGUUACGGUUAAUUAUUCUUAAAAUAAACUGCUACCAUGCAGUAUUAAUUCAGAAGAAACUGUAAGUUCCUUGCUAUUUUCUACAGCUUGUUUUCACAAUGAAUUAAUGGGAGUUAAUUUAGCAGUUCACAACAAACAGGACCACUGCAGGAAUACAAACUAGGUGUUGCUUCCUGAAUUCUUCCUCCCUCUUGUUAGUGCUCCUCUUGGACUUUUAUUAGAUGUAGUACAAAAGGUCUUAGUCUGGCAAAGAGUAAAUUUGCUGGAAAGGCAGAAGUCAGGAAAAAAUAGUGCAUUAUUUUCUCCUCUUGUGGAUAUUAACAGUUUGGCACAGAAGCACUGCUCUGACAGUGGAAAAGAAUGGUAAAAAAUGGGCUCUAAUUCUUUGCAGUAUGUUAAUAUUAGUAUCUGAACCAUGAUGGUGUUGUCAUGUCUGUGUAGCAUGUCUUUUGUCCAAGACCAAUCCCAGUUUUCUGGAGCAAGAACCAUUUCAGCCCACAGGUGGCACUUGGACUGUCAAUCACUUUCUCUAAAAAUGCAAGAGAUUUUAGUCCUCGCUGAGAUGGAAAACUAAAAUAAGCAAUUUGGAAAGCAUUCUGCAUCUUGGAGAGGCUUUCUAUAAUUUAUUCAAACUCAGCUUGAAAUAGAGAAAUGGUUUUACCUCCAGAAGCAUCCAAAAAUACAUUGUGUCAGCAAGUGCAUUAUGUGGGAAAAUCACCAAAUCUUCAAAAGCUGGAGGUCGAGGUGCCUGUGCUAACAAAGGGCUCAUUUGCAGCUGCAGCUCCUGUGGAUGCCUGUGCAAGCCACAUGCUCAGCAAUGCUGGGGUCCAGCUGGUGUGCGGCCAAGGCUCUUCAACAGCAGUGUCCCCACAGCCAGAUUUGAAUUCUGGGAUCCCCUCAGCCAGUCCAGAAGCUGUAGGGAUGCACAGAGGUUCCUUGGGCGUUCCAGGAGAGUAGGAUGCUCCUGCCUCCUGGCUCAGGCUUCUUUGUCUGUGCUGCCAGAGAUGGGAGCUGAUUUUUACUGCAUUGGCAUCCGCUCUAGAAGGUCACAAGGGAGGAAAGAGUCCCAAGCUGUGCCAGGGGAGGUUUAGACUGGAUGCUGGGGGAAAUUUCUGCAUGGAAAGGGUGUGCAGCACUGAGCAGGUUGCCCAGGGCAGUGGUGGAAUCCCCAUUCCUGAAUAGGUUUGAGAGACAUGCAGGUGUGGUACCUAGAGACAGGGUUCAGUGGUGGCCUUGGCAGUGCUGGGGGAGCUGUUGGAUUUGGGGGUCUUAAGUGUCUUUCCAACCUUCUUAACUCUGUGAUUCCAUAAAGCUGUUGCUUGCUUUUUUCUUUGAAGGUGCAUCUAUCCUUCUGGGAGACCGUGAGCAGAGCAAGUUGGGGUUUCAUUUCCACCAGGAACAAAGCAAGUCAGUCCUGGAAACACUGCCUGUGUGGUUUUAGAGAUCUGUAGCAGCAGUUGUAGAGACUGGGGGUGGGGAGAAUGGCACACAGAGAAAAUUUCAUUCAAGCAAUUAAGGAAUCACCACAUUUUUAUGAUUAACUUCUUGUUCCCAGGCUGAAUGCAGAAGCUGUUAGUGGGGGCAUUGCUAUUCCAUACCUGACACGAACAAUGGGAAUAUUUGUUCUGCCCGGGAGGAUUACACCUUCCAUUAAUCUAAGUUUUAUUGAAAGUUUAAAUAACAGACAGACAAAAUUUGAUCAAUUAGCAGUGUAAUUCCAAGGAGAUGUCACAGUGAAAUUAAAUCUCAAGCAUUUUUAAUGCAAAGAAACCUAGGAGCUCCCUCCAGUUUUCUUUCUCAGUACAGUGUUUAGAUUUUAAUUGAAAGUUUAUUCUGCUUUGUGCAUCUUCUAGUAAAUUUUAAUUUCAGACUGUAAUGAGAACAAUUUUCUAUUACAGUGUUUGUAGCAUUUCACAGAUAGAUCCACGAUGCCUCAUAAAUGAGGAAAACAAACAGGUUUGUGUAGGAUGCACUAGCCAUGGAAAUCUCCAGAAGAAAAGAGAUUUAUGUGGGGAAAAGGGAGGGAAUUGGUGCUGUGUGAGGAAGGAUGCAUGGGGGGAACUGGGUGGGUGUGAUUAUUGUUCCCACGUGCUCAGACCCUGGGCUCUCUCGGGGCUCCUUCAGGUCCCCACCAGUGCCAGACUGCUGGGGCUGUUCUCGUGCUCAUCCCACCCCAGACAAAAGCUGCCCCCUGAGCCCACCCCAGCCCUGCUGCUCCUCUGCUUCCCAGCUGCCGUGGUCCCUUCCUGCAUCCUGCCAUUUCAGCUUUCAUUUCCUUAUGUAAUUUCUGUGUCCCCAGUGAAGUGUUGUUGCCAUCAUUACCGCUCCACAUGUCUUCCAUUUUUCUUAUCAUAAAUGUCAUUCUCAUACUGCAAAUACCAGAAGUGCCACAACCUUGCUGUGAAUCUAUCUCAGUGCUAUCUUUGGAGACAUACCUCAUCUGAGGAGAAGUAAUACUGAAAAUAGCUGUAUAUUUUUGAAUGUAUAUUUUUGUCUGGCUGGAUGUCAGGGAUCAGCUUGUCGGGCAGCUGAAGCAGUGCAAAUCCCCCGUCUGCACAGGUCUAGUUUUGUUUACACAAUAAGAGUUUCUGGUCAAACCUGGGCCUUGAUACCCUUACAGACAGCUUCCCAAAAGUGACAAAGACUCCAGAUGUGACAGCAGAUACUGGUGAGGAGAGGUUUCUCAGUGAUAGGGGAGGCACAGAACACAGCAGCAGGACUGACUGCUGGGUGUGCAGCACACGGGCUGUGAUGGCAAUUCACUCUGGACUGUUCCUCUGUCAGUCACCAUCAGGUGAGCAAAUACCGGAGGAACUGCUUGUGGAAAUUAACAGACGUGGCUGCACAUUCCCAACAUCUGAUGAUCUGUAACUGUUCCUCCCAAGCCAAUCUGUUUGCGAAUCCUGGGGCACCAGGCAGCUGCAGCCCUGGCUGGGCCACACCAGCUCUCUGUGGCAUAAUCAUGCCUGGGAGGUGAGGAUUUGGGGUUUCUCACAAAGUAAUUUUUCUUAGUAAAAGCAGUGAUUAACCUUGCUUCAGUCACGAGCAGCAGUAUUUAAAACAACAACAAGAAAAAAGGCAGCUGAGAGCUGCCUGCAGCUUGGCUCGGGCAGCCGCUCCUCCAUAUGGCGUGUGAAAUGCCAGCACAUGAAAUUAACUCUCAUAAAUAAGUAAUAAGGGCUGAUUUGCCCAGAUCUGGAUGGGCUGACUUCCUAUGGAACACAGCCCUUAGCCGUGGCAUCAGUGUAACUGCAGGUGUUGGAGGCCAUGGAGUUCCAACAAAAUGUGUAUUCUAGGGAGAGCUUGGAAGGGAAAAUCCACUCUGGGAAGGAGCCAGCAUUCCAGCCUCAUUCCAGGAUGCUCAAGGAGGAGUGCCUGUUUGUGUUUUCAGAAUUGAAUAUUUCAGUUUUCUGACACUUUUCACAAGUCAGGCUCAAGUGAAAUUAUAUUUUGUUCAAACAGAGCCUUUGAAGUAACCAAAAUUUUCCCUUGCAGAGGACUCCUUGUAUGGGAACUCUUUUUCCUCUCCAGAAUGUGAGAAAAUGGAAAUAAUGAAGCUUCCUCUGAAAAAUCAGAAAGAUUUGUCCCACAUCACAUAUCUCAUGUAAUCUUUCACUGACAGCACAGGGGGUUCAGACUGAAAGCCCUAUUCCUGCUAGAGCAGAAAUUCAGCAUGCAAGAAAGUGGCAAGAUUUGAAGUAGAACUCUAUAACUUAGAGUUGGCCAUCUCUGACAAAUAAAAAUUAAACACAAAUAGUCAAAUUCUCACAGACCCUGGUGUUUUGAGCCAGCAGCUUUUCAGCUCAUCUGCAAGAGCCCUUCCCAAGUGCCUGGUGUCCCCUCACAGCAGGCAUUGCUUCAGGUCCUGACCCAGCUGAGGGGCCAGCACCUUUCCAGCAGCACCACGGGUUCCUGGAGGCCUGGCCCUGCAAAAACAAUGGAAUCUUUCUUCAGCCACCAUCAGUGAAAUGGAGGCAGUGUCCCUGGGAGCUGGGGGCUGAUGGAUGGUCCCUGAAGUGCAGCAGCACAAUCUGUCAGGGCCGCGGUUAAUGGGGGGAAUGGAAAUAGCCUGAGCCUGCCCAGCUGACAUCAUCUGCUAAAGGAGCUGAGAGCCAGCUCACAGUGCACCCUGCUCCUCUCUUCACUGCCAUU